GUGAAGCUGGAAAGACCACAAACAUAAGCUCUUCGAUGAUGAAAAUCUUCCAGCGUGGACUUUUAAGUCAGAGAGACGAUAGAGAACCUCCAAGGUUGACUGAAAGUGGGUUCCAAUUCUUGCUAAUGGACACAAAUGCACAGCUUUGGUACAUCAUCAGGGAGUACAUAACAAAUGCUGAGGAGCGAGGAGUGGAUUCAGCAGAUCUUAUUGCAUUUCUUUUGGAGCUAAGCUUUCAUGUUACUGGCAAGGCAUACAAUACAAACACAAUAACUGAUCUCCAGAGAAGUAUAAUUAAGGACCUUUCAGAUUUGGGAUUGGUCAAGCUGCAGCAGGGAAGGAAAGAGAGUUGGUUUAUUCCGACCAAACUGGCGACCAACCUGUCAAUUAGCUUAGCGGAUACAACUACUAGGAAACAGGGUUUUAUCGUUAUUGAAACAAACUUCAGACUGUAUGCAUAUUCAACAUCAAAAUUGCACUGUGAGAUCCUACGCCUUUUUGCAAGGGUGGAAUACCAGCUUCCAAAUCUCAUUGUUGGUGCUAUUAAUAAAGAGAGUUUAUAUAAAGCUUUUCAAAACGGCAUUACUUCUGAGCAGAUAGUUUCUUUCCUUCAGCAGAAUGCACAUCCUAGGGUUGCCGAGAGAAUACCAUCUGUGCCGGAGAAUGUUACUGAUCAGAUUAGAUUGUGGGAAUCUGAUCUGAAUCGGGUUGAGAUGACGCCAGCCCACUUCUACGAUGAAUUCCCUUCUAAAGAUGUCUUUGAGGCUGCCUGUGAUUUUGCCAGAGAAUAUGGAGGAUUACUGUGGGAGGACUCUAAGCGCAUGCGUCUCGUUGUUAAAGCUGAUAUUUUAGCCGAGAUGAAGGAAUUUCUUCGUCGUCAAAAGCAAUAACUCUUCUUUGCAUACUGUCUUCAUUUAAAUGAAGGGUUUCAUCAGUUAUGUCCAUCUAUAUAUUUAUUCCCAACUUAACUUGUACAUGAAUUUUGUUGUGGGUGUAUUGUAUUUCAUUGUGCUUCGAUUUCCUUCUUUCGACACCUUGUGAUGUUGUACUAAUAAUGGGACUAC
rnacentral:misc_RNA from 1 species